CGGACGGGUGAGUAACACGUGGAUAACCUACCUAUAAGACUGGGAUAACUUCGGGAAACCGGAGCUAAUACCGGAUAAUAUAUUGAACCGCAUGGUUCAAUAGUGAAAGACGGUUUUGCUGUCACUUAUAGAUGGAUCCGCGCUGCAUUAGCUAGUUGGUAAGGUAACGGCUUACCAAGGCAACGAUACGUAGCCGACCUGAGAGGGUGAUCGGCCACACUGGAACUGAGACACGGUCCAGACUCCUACGGGAGGCAGCAGCU
rnacentral:rRNA from 1 species